UACGUAGGGGGCUAGCGUUGUCCGGAAUCAUUGGGCGUAAAGAGCGUGUAGGCGGUCCGGUAAGUCCGCUGUGAAAGUCGGGGGCUCAACCCUCGAAUGCCGGUGGAUACUGUCGGGCUAGAGUGCGGAAGAGGCGAGUGGAAUUCCUGGUGUAGCGGUGAAAUGCGCAGAUAUCAGGAGGAACACCUAUUGCGAAGGCGGCCCCCUGGACCGGUACUGACGCUGAGGCGCGAAAGCGUGGGUAGCAAACGGG
rnacentral:rRNA from 1 species